rnacentral:lncRNA from 1 species
UUCUUUUUGAUGGCGAAGGCCAUUGGCCUUAAAGGGUGUUAUUUUGAACUUAUCGAAAUAGCAUCCCGUCGUAGUUUGAGCGAGCUCAAACCUUUCUUUUUAUCUUUGAUGGUGAAGGACCUUGGCUUUAAAAGGUGUUAUUUUGAACUUAUAAAAAUAACUGCCCGUUGUAGUUCGAGCAAGGUUGAACCUUUCUUUUUCUAUUUGAUGGCGAAGGCCCUUAGCCUUAAAGGGUGUUAUUUCGAACUUAUCAAAAUAACAGCCUGUAGUAGUUUGAGUGAGGCAGAACAUUUUUUUUAUGGCUAAGG